UCACUGAAAUCCAGGGUUUGUAGGGUGAUGGCUUUGAGGCGUAUGCUUGGGUUUUCGGAUGAGAUAGAUAAUAUUAGUCAAACUGAUUAUCACAAAGUGAAAUAUGACAAAGGAGUAGAUAGGAAGAUACAAUGCUUGCACCUCUGAUUUGAGUUAGCAAGGUCUGAAUAUUCUAGGGAAAACGGACAAAUAAACCCCCUGAACUUUCGAAAAUUGUAUGUCAAACCCUUCGUCAUACUUUUUGUCCAUGAG
rnacentral:misc_RNA from 1 species